rnacentral:rRNA from 1 species
AAUCAACGCUGGCGGCGUGCCUCAGACAUGCAAGUCGAACGCGAAAGUUUCCUUCGGGAGAUGAGUAGAGUGGCGCACGGGUGAGUAACACGUGAGUAAUUUACCUUCGGGUGGGGAAGUACUAACCGGAAACGGUUGUUAAUACCGCAUAAUGCAGCGGCAUCAAUGAUGACAGUUGUUAAAGCGGGGGAGUUGGAGGCAAUCCGACCUCGCGCCUGAAGAGAAGCUCGCGGCAGAUUAGCUAGUUGGUAAGGUAA